ACUAUGCCCAGCCAUAAACUUAGAUGUUUUCGUACAAUUUACAUCCGCCAGGGGACUACGAGCACUAGCUUAAAACCCAAAGGACUUGGCGGUGCUUUAUAUCCUU
rnacentral:rRNA from 1 species